GGUGCUAUACAUGCAAGUAGAACGCUGAAGAGAGGAGCUUGCUCUUCUUGGAUGAGUUGCGAACGGGUGAGUAACGCGUAGGUAACCUGCCUUGUAGCGGGGGAUAACUAUUGGAAACGAUAGCUAAUACCGCAUAACAAUGGAUGACACAUGUCAUUUAUUUGAAAGGGGCAAUUGCUCCACUACAAGAUGGACCUGCGUUGUAUUAGCUAGUAGGUGAGGUAACGGCUCACCUAGGCGACGAUACAUAGCCGACCUGAGAGGGUGAUCGGCCACACUGGGACUGAGACACGGCCCAGACUCCUACGGGAGGCAGCAGUAGGGAAUCUUCGGCAAUGGGGGCAACCCUGACCGAGCAACGCCGCGUGAGUGAAGAAGGUUUUCGGAUCGUAAAGCUCUGUUGUAAGUCAAGAACGAGUGUGAGAUUGGAAAGUUCACACUGUGACGGUAGCUUACCAGAAAGGGACGGCUAACUACGUGCCAGCAGCCGCGGUAAUACGUAGGUCCCGAGCGUUGUCCGGAUUUAUUGGGCGUAAAGCGAGCGCAGGCGGUUUGAUAAGUCUGAAGUUAAAGGCUGUGGCUCAACCAUAGUUCGCUUUGGAAACUGUCAAACUUGAGUGCAGAAGGGGAGAGUGGAAUUCCAUGUGUAGCGGUGAAAUGCGUAGAUAUAUGGAGGAACACCGGUGGCGAAAGCGGCUCUCUGGUCUGUAACUGACGCUGAGGCUCGAAAGCGUGGGGAGCGAACAGGAUUAGAUACCCUGGUAGUCCACGCCGUAAACGAUGAGUGCUAGUGUUGGAUCCUUUCCGGGAUUCAGUGCCGCAGCUAACGCAUUAAGCACUCCGUCCUGGGGAGUACGACCGCAAGGUUGAAACUCAAAGGAAUUGACGGGGGCCCGCACAAGCGGUGGAGCAUGUGGUUUAAUUCGAAGCAACGCGAAGAACCUUAC
rnacentral:rRNA from 1 species